CGCAGCCCCUCGUGUGGCGACAACUUGCCCAACUCCCCCAGGGCCGGAAGGCAGCAAGGGUAAGCGAGCUCUGUCGGGUGCGCGAGGGGUCUCUCAC
rnacentral:SRP_RNA from 1 species